rnacentral:misc_RNA from 1 species
AUGCAAAAGAGGAGAACAGAAAACACAAUGUGCACAAAGGUUUACUGCUCAACAAUAGCAGCAUUCGCAGAAAAAUUCAGACAUGCAGGGAUUGUACAAAAUCUAAAUUAGGCAAUUGUCUGUAAAUGUUUUAUGGUUGGUCCUAAUAUUAGCCAAACAAAAACAAUAAUAAGAAUGAUCAAUUUAAUGAAAUUUGUGGUGAUUCAACAUAAUUUCACUUCGCAUGAA